CUUCCAUCUGGAAGAAUCUGGAGACAGGUGCUGCAUGGCUGUCGUCAGCUCGUGUCGUGAGAUGUUGGGUUAAGUCCCGCAACGAGCGCAACCCUUGCCUUUAGUUGCCAGCAGUUCGGCUGGGCACUCUAAAGGGACUGCCGGUGUUAAACCGGAGGAAGGUGGGGAUGACGUCAAGUCCUCAUGGCCUUUAUGACCAGGGCUACACACGUACUACAAUGGCCGAUACAAAGGGCAGCGACACUGCGAGGUGAAGCCAAUCCCGUAAAAUCGGUCUCAGUCCGGAUUGGAGUCUGCAACUCGACUCCAUGAAGUUGGAAUCGCUAGUAAUCGUGGAUUCAGCAUGCCACGGUAGAAUACGUUCCCGGGCCUU
rnacentral:rRNA from 1 species